rnacentral:rRNA from 1 species
UAAUCAUUUGUCCACUAAUUAUGGACCCGUAUGAAAGGCCACAUGAGAAUCUAACUGUCUCCUGUAACCAAUUUAUAAAACUGAUCUUCCAGUCCAAAAGCUGGAAUACACUUAUAAGACGAGAAGACCCUGUGAAGCUUAAAAAAUCCUAUUAAACCUAGUAAUGGGUAUUUUUAGUUGGGGCAACUUUGGAAAAUAAUUUAACUUCCAAAAAAUAAAACAAUAUUACACCAAGACCUACAAGUCAAUUAAGACCCAGUAUAACUGAUAAAUGGACCAAGUUACUCCAGGGAUAACAGCGCAAUCUUCUUCAAGAGCCCAUAUCAAAAGGAAGGUUUACGACCUCGAUGUUGGAUCAGGACACCCAAAUGGCGCAGCCGCUAUUAAAGGUU